UGCGCUCCGGGGUUAACCGUGCGGGGCAGGGGUGGAUGGGUCCUCACGUGUGUCAUAUUCUAACUCAAGAGGAUGAGGACGGCAAAAGCUGUCGUUGACCCAGUACCUUCGAUGGAGGAGGACGUAUGUUGUUCUUUAUAUGUGUUCCUUUAUUUCAAUUCCAAGGUCAUCCCAAAAAGAGGAUACUACUAUCCCUGAAUUACAGCCUCCUGAUUCCUUGUCUCAAAAACAUUCCACAACAGCUCUGAGCACUACGGACCCGGCUGGGUCAUCUGCUGCUGCCGGCUUCCAGGUUGGCGAUGUCCCAGGACACUGAGAGUGUAGGUAUCUACUGCCUAAUAUUUGGUAAGGCUCCUGAAACAUGUCGAUGAAAAGAGACCAGAGAAGGACCGUAACAUGGUGCAGCGGCAGACAAGCAGCAGGAUCUGUGUAUACACUGUUUGUGCCCCAUUCCAUCUGAGGCCUUUGGAGGAAGCUGAAAAUGUAGGUAUGGGGGAUGGCUCCAACAGAUGAUAUCUUUGACCUUGAAGAGACCAAUCUGACCACUGUAGAGUAGCCUCAGGCUCCAAGUGAAUGCCUCAAUGCAGCCAAACUUGCUCAACAUCCAAGGGAGGCCACAGAUGGUAUCUACUGCUUCGGAAUUGGAUCUUUACUCCAAGAAGAGAAGCGUUCCAGUUUAUCACCUGACAGUGGUCACUCAUAGCCCCUAUCCCCAGGAGAGACCGCUUCUGAGAAAGAACUGAGCGGAGUAGCUGCGAGUAGGUCUUUGUCGCCGCUCCAAAUAGCAGUGGGUAAUAUGCUAACACAAUCGAUUCUCAACGAUUCGGGGUGAAAAAAAAAAAAAUCCUGAGGCUGGAAACCCUGUAGAUGGGAUCGGAAAAUAUCUUCCCAGCCCUGCCCAUUAGCCCUUCAAGAGCCAUCCCCACAGUCCUACCGCGCAGCAGCCCCUCCCUUGUCUACACCCAAAAGCCAGGCCUCGACCCUGCUGCCCCGCCCCCUCUUUCUUCACACCGUUCAAUAUAUUCUCUUCACGGAACCCCUUCACAGUUGUGACUUUCUGACCACCGGAGCUUCGGGUCUGUACAGAUCCUCAGUCUCGAUCCACCCCCACCACCACCACUCUAUGACCCCUGACCCCCUCCUCCAGCCUGCUCUUACUGUCCAGAUAAUGUUCCAAAUACAUCCCCGCAGCCAUCUUGAAGCAAAACAAAGCAACUUCCGAUCCGCCCCGGAAGCGACUGAAAUGCAACAGGCGCUGAAGCUAUUAUCCUUGGGUUGCAGCCUUUCCGCCCUUAAAAGAAGAGCUUCCGCCCUCACUAAAUUGUCCGCUGGGACACAUCCGCCCGACGUUGAAACUUUCCCUUUUGCGUAGGUAGCCGGGGCCGCCCAUACUGAGGCGCCUAGAGGGUAGUUUUGCCCGCUUCCGCCCUUACUGAGUCCCCAGUACGCGACCGAGGCAGGCAUGACGUCACUGCAGGUCGCCAUUUUGCAUUACCUAUCAAACUUUUUUUCCCUCCAAAAAGGGGAUGUGCAUUAAUGCGGGGUAAAAAAAACCCCUUCUCUCUUUAGGAUUGUAUUCCACAAAUACCCCUUUUCAGGGACUGAAGACUCUUUUUUCCUUUUUGCUGGGUAUGAAUCUAGUGACCAGAGCAGGUCUCGGCUGAAUCAAGGUAGCUAGUAUCAACGAAGUUGGGGAGACAUAGUUGAUGUUGCGAGAUUUAAACCCUUCGCUUUUCCACUCACACGAGCAUCAGCUCUCCUGGAUUAUUUUUUUUUUAUAAUCUCUACUUAUAAAUACAAAGAAUUACACAAUAAAGCUAUAAUUCUCCACACCUCUUGUCCAGGUUCCUGUCCUUUUGCACUCGAAUACGUAUACACACAUAAAAUGACAUAGUACUU